rnacentral:rRNA from 1 species
GACAUAAUGCAACUAGCACAAUCUAAUAAUCACCACCACCACCACCACUAAAGUGCUGAUAUUUGAUGCCGGUGCAAGCGUGUAGGGGGUUCGGGUAGGAAUAAAACGCCCGAGCAACUCCGAGACGUGAUGCCGUGGCCUUCGGGCCGAAGUCAUUGAUCCCACGCUUCCAAGAAAAGCUGCGUUCUACGUUGACGUACUGCUGACCGUACCGGAAACCGACUCAGGUGGGCGGGUCGAGAAGACCAAGGCGUUUGAGAGAAUCCUGGUUAAGGAACUCGGCAAAUUGACACCGUAACUUCGGGAUAAGGUGUGCCCUCUCUGGUGGAGGCCCUCGCGGCCCGAGCUCGAAGGGGUUGCAACAAAGAGGCGGUAGCGACUGUUUACCAAAAACACAGGCCUGUGCGAAGCCGUAAGGCGACGUAUACAGGUUGACGCCUGCCCGGUGCCGGAAGGUUAAGGGGACUGCUCAGCGAAAGCGAAGGUGGGAACCGAAGCCCCGGUAAACGGCGGCCGUAACGAUAACGGUCCUAAGGUAGCGAAAUUCCUUGUCGGGUAAGUUCCGACCUGCACGAAUGGCGUAACGACUUCCGCACUGUCUCGAUCAGGAUCUCAGCGAAAUUGACAUUGGGGUGAAGAUGCCCCAUACCCGCAGCAAGACGGAAAGACCCUGUGAACCUUUACUCUAACUUGGCAGCGGCAUUCGGUUCAGUUUGUGUAGGAUAGGUGGGAGGCUGUGAACCGGGAGCGCUAGCUUCUGGGGAGCCAACGUUGAAAUACCACCCUGAUUGUGCUGGAUGCCUAACCCGGCCGAAAGGCGGGGACACUGCCUGGUGGGGAGUUUGACUGGGGCGGUCGCCUCCCAAACAGUAACGGAGGCGCGCAAAGGUUCCCUCAGCCAGAUCGGAAACCUGGCGCAGAGUGCAAAGGCAGAAGGGAGCUUGACUGCAACAUCGACAGAUGGAGCAGGUGCGAAAGCAGGCCUUAGUGAUCCGGCGGUCCCACAUGGGAGGGCCGUCGCUCAUCGGAUAAAAGGUACUCCGGGGAUAACAGGCUUAUCACGCCCAAGAGUUCACAUCGACGGCGUGGUUUGGCACCUCGAUGUCGGCUCAUCGCAUCCUGGGGCUGGAGCAGGUCCCAAGGGUUUGGCUGUUCGCCAAUUAAAGCGGUACGCGAGCUGGGUUCAAAACGUCGUGAGACAGUUUGGUCCCUAUCUGCUGUGGGCGUAGGAGAAUUGAGAAGAGCUGUCCUUAGUACGAGAGGACCGGGAUGGACGCACCUCUGGUGUUCCGGUUGUCGCGCCAGCGGCACUGCCGGGUAGCUACGUGCGGACGGGAUAACCGCUGAAAGCAUCUAAGUGGGAAGCCCCCUUCAAGAUCAGUUCUCCCCGAAGGGCCCAGGAAGACUACCUGGUUGAUAGGCAGGGGGUGUAGGCGCUGCAAGGCGCGAGCCGACCUGUACUAAUUGCCCGUUUGACUUGACUCU